UACGAAGGGGGCUAGCGUUGUUCGGAUUUACUGGGCGUAAAGCGCACGUAGGCGGAUCGUUAAGUCGGGGGUGAAAUCCUGGAGCUCAACUCCAGAACUGCCUUCGAUACUGGCGAUCUCGAGUCCGGAAGAGGUGAGUGGAACUCCUAGUGUAGAGGUGGAAUUCGUAGAUAUUCGGAAGAACACCAGUGGCGAAGGCGGCUCACUGGACCGGUAUUGACGCUGAGGUGCGAAAGCGUGGGGAGCAAACAGG
rnacentral:rRNA from 1 species